rnacentral:rRNA from 1 species
GACGGAGGGUGCUAGCGUUGUUCGGAAUGACUGGGCGUAAAGGGCGCGUAGGCGGCCUGUUAAGUCGGGUGUGAAAGCCCGGGGCUCAACCCCGGAACGGCACUCGGGACUGGCGGGCUCGAGACCGGGAGAGGAGGGUGGAAUACCCAGUGUAGAGGGGAAAUUCGUAGAUAUGGGGUGGAACACCGGUGGGGAAAGCGGCUCUCUGGCCCGGGUCUGACGCUGAGGCGCGAAAGCGUGGGGAGCAAACAGG